GAUGAACGCUGGCGGCGUGCCUAAUACAUGCAAGUCGAGCGAACGGACGAGAAGCUUGCUUUUCUGAUGUUAGCGGCGGACGGGUGAGUAACACGUGGAUAACCUACCUAUAAGACUGGGAUAACUUCGGGAAACCGGAGCUAAUACCGGAUAAUAUUUUGAACCGCAUGGUUCAAAAGUGAAAGACGGUCUUGCUGUCACUUAUAGAUUGAUCCGCGCUGCAUUAGCUAGUUGUUAAGGUAACGGCUUACCAAGGCAACGAUGCAUAGCCGACCUGAGAGGGUGAUAGGCCACACGGGAACUGAGACACGGUACAGACGCCUAAGGGAGGCAGCAGUAGGGAAUCUUACGCAAUGGGCGAGAGCAUGACGGAGCAACGCCGCGUGAGUGAUGAAGGUCUUCGGAUCGGAAAACUCUGUUAUUAGGGAAGAACAUAUGUGUAAGUAACUGUGCACAUCUUGACGGUACCGAAUCAGAAAGCCACGGCUAACUACGUG
rnacentral:rRNA from 1 species